UACGUAGGCAGCAAGCGUUGUUCGGAGUUAUUGGGCGUAAAGGGUGCGUAGGCGGUUUGAUAAGUCAUCUGUGAAAUCUCUGGGCUCAACCCAGAGUCUGCAGGCGAAACUGUCGGGCUUGAGUAUGGGAGAGGUGAGUGGAAUUCCUGGUGUAGCGGUGAAAUGCGUAGAUAUCAGGAGGAACACCUGUGGCGAAAGCGGCUCACUGGACCAUAACUGACGCUGAUGCACGAAAGCUAGGGGAGCAAACAGG
rnacentral:rRNA from 1 species